UGGGGGAUAUUGCACAAUGGGCGAAAGCCUGAUGCAGCGACGCCGCGUGGGGGAUGAAGGCUUUCGGGUUGUAAACCUCUUUCGCUAUCGAACAAGGCCCGCUUAGGGUGGGUUGAGGGUAGGUGGAGAAGCAGCGCCGGCUAACUACGUGCAAGCAGCCGCGGUAAUACGUAGGGCGCGAGCGUUGUCCGGAAUUAUCGGGCGUAAAGGGCUUGUAGGCGGCUUGUUGCGCCUGCUGUGAAAACGCGGGGCUUAACUUCGCGCGUGCAGUGGGUACGGGCAGGCUUGAGUGGGGUAGGGGGGACUGGAAUUCCAGGUGUAGCGGUGGAAUGCGCAGAUAUCUGGAGGAACACCGAUGGCGAAGGCAGGUCACUGGGCCAUUACUGACGCUGAGGGGCGAAAGCAUGGGUAGCGAACAGG
rnacentral:rRNA from 1 species